ACGCUAAUACCGCAUACGUCCUACGGGAGAAAGCAGGGGACCUUCGGGCCUUGCGCUAUCAGAUGAGCCUAGGUCGGAUUAGCUAGUUGGUGGGGUAAUGGCUCACCAAGGCGACGAUCCGUAACUGGUCUGAGAGGAUGAUCAGUCACACUGGAACUGAGACACGGUCCAGACUCCUACGGGAGGCAGCAGUGGGGAAUAUUGGACAAUGGGCGAAAGCCUGAUCCAGCCAUGCCGCGUGUGUGAAGAAGGUCUUCGGAUUGUAAAGCACUUUAAGUUGGGAGGAAGGGCAGUAAGUUAAUACCUUGCUGUUUUGACGUUACCGACAGAAUAAGCACCGGCUAACUCUGUGCCAGCAGCCGCGGUAAUACAGAGGGUGCAAGCGUUAAUCGGAAUUACUGGGCGUAAAGCGCGCGUAGGUGGUUCGUUAAGUUGGAUGUGAAAGCCCCGGGCUCAACCUGGGAACUGCAUCCAAAACUGGCGAGCUAGAGUACGGUAGAGGGUGGUGGAAUUUCCUGUGUAGCGGUGAAAUGCGUAGAUAUAGGAAGG
rnacentral:rRNA from 1 species